rnacentral:rRNA from 1 species
CCUACGGGUGGCUGCAGUGGGGAAUUUUGGACAAUGGGGGCAACCCUGAUCCAGCCAUGCCGCGUGCGGGAAGAAGGCCUUCGGGUUGUAAACCGCUUUCGGCCGGAACGAAAUCGCCGGGGAGAACAUCCCCGGUGGAUGACGGUACCGGAAGAAGAAGCACCGGCUAACUACGUGCCAGCAGCCGCGGUAAUACGUAGGGUGCGACUGGUAAUCGGAAUUACUGGGCCGGAUGCGUAAGACAGCUGUGAAAUCCCCGGGCUUAACCUGGGAACUGCGUUUGUGACUGGCGGGCUGGAGUGCGGAAGAGGGAGGUGGAAUUCCACGUGUAGCAGUGAAAUGCGUAGAGAUGUGGAGGAACACCGAUGGCGAAGGCAGCCUCCUGGUCUAGCACUGACGCUCAUGCACGAAAGCGUGGGGAGCAAACAGGAUUAGAUACCCCAGUAGUC